GGAAGGAUCAUUAACACGUAUAUUGCGUUUUAACAAAUCCCUCUCUCAACCCCUCUGUGAACAUUGCUCUUGUAAAAAGGAGCUAAUUUCAAACUUAAAUCCUUGAUUGGAAGUUCUCUUUCAGUUGAGGUCGCUUCAAGCUCCCUGUUUUGGUUGGCUUUCGAGUCGAACAAAGCAGUUUGCGUGUUGUCGUCUUGUUCUUUUUCGGAAGAGCGAGUUCUGACAACAGUGGCGUCAAACCAAAACCCUUGAACCUAAUAACUCUGAAACCCCCCUAACAUUUGUGUGCUCUUUUUGGGCGCACGUGUUAACCAAAAAUACAAAAACAACUCUUAACAACGGAUAUCUUGGUUCUCGCAACGAUGAAGAACGCAGCGAAAUGCGAUACGUAAUGCGAAUUGCAGAAUUCCGUGAAUCAUCAAGUUUUUGAACGCAAAUUGCGCUCUUGGUUACUCAAGAGCACGCCUCUUUGAGUGUCGGUUUAACUUCUUCCUGGCAGCGUUUUCGGACGUUUUCAGUGGAGGCUAUUGAGUUUGUCUCUCUUUCGCAAGAGAGUCACUUCAAACACAAGGCGAAAGUGUGAAACUUUUGCUCCUGCAAUGUGACCUGAAGACGCAGCCUUUGUUUGGCCUGUUGUUCUUGGAGGAUUUCAUUGACGUGGAUAAUUCAUCUCUUCAAUGAGGUGGUCCAAUACGUUGAUGAGCCUUUUAGUGACAGCGAGUCAGCAAUCUGCUAUCAGCUUUGGGAGCAAUCCAUUGGAGGCAGGCAACUGAAGCACAUUUUCGAAGCGUGAUAUUUUAGUUCGCUCUCAAAGUGAACCAAAUAUUAAGCACACGGCUUCUUCAAAAAAGCCCAAGCACCAAACAGACCUCAAAUGAAGCGAGAGGACCCGGUGAAUUUAAGCAUAUUAUUAACCGGAGGAAAAGAAACUAACAAGGAUUCCCCUAGUAACGGCGAGUGAAGCGGGAAGAGCUCAACUUGAAAAUCGGUAGGGCAUGCGUCCGUCCGAAUUGUAGUCUAGAGACGUUACCGCAAGCGCGGGUGUCGGGUCAAAUUCCCUUGGAAAAGGGAGCCAUAGAGGGUGAGAGCCCCGUCUGCGACUCGUCUGCCUGUGUGUGUCGGUGCGUUCAUCGAGUCGAGUUGCCUGGGAUCGCAGCUCUAAAUGGGUGGUAAAUUUCAUCUAAAGCUAAAUAUGGGCGAGAGACCGAUAGCGAACAAGUACCGUGAGGGAAAGAUGAAAAGAACUUUGAAAAGAGAGUGAAAAGUACUUGAAAUUGUUAAGAGGGAAGCACUGGAAGCCAUUCGGGGCCGCGUCUCUAGGGUGUUGGCUCUUGCAUAAGGAGCCGGUGCCUGUCUGGGGCGUGGUUGGGGUCAGCAUCAAUUUUUGGCGCGGGAGAAGGUCUGUUUCGCGGUAGCUUCGGCGAAGGGAACGGACUCUACCAGCUGUCGGAGAUUGAGGUACGACAACACGCAUUCGGUCUGGGGGCUGGCGGUGUUUCAGCGGGCUGCGGAGAAGAAACUUCUGCGUGGCUUGUUUGGGGCGCUCUCCGGUCACCGUGACCUGCUGUGUUCGCGAUGCUGACGAUACGGUUUUCAUUGACCCGUCUUGAAACACGGACCAAGGAGUCUAACAUAUAUGCGAGUAUUUGGGUGCAAAACCCUGGUGCGCAAUGAAAGUAAUUUGGGUAGGAAGCCUUUUAAAAGGGGCCGCACUAUCGACCGAUCGCGCAAGUGAUCUUGAGUAAGAGCAUAUCUGUUGGGACCCGAAAGAUGGUGAUCUAUGCCUGAACAGGGUGAAGCCAGGGGAAACUCUGGUGGAGGCUCGUAGCGAUACUGACGUGCAAAUCGUUCGUCUGAUUUGGGUAUAGGGGCGAAAGACUAAUCGAACCAUCUAGUAGCUGGUUCCCUC
rnacentral:misc_RNA from 1 species